GUGACUGUAUUUGUGUGGGUUUGUCGGUGCCCAGGCUGGAGUGCAAUGGUGCGAUCUCGGCUCACUGCAACCUCUGCCUCCUGGGUUCAAGUAAUUCUCCUGCCUCAGUCUCCUGAGUAGCUGGGAUUACAGGCGCCUGCCACCACACCCAGGUAACUUUUUUGUAUUUUUAGUAGAGACAGGAUUUUACCAUGUUGGCCAGGCUGGUGUCGAACUCCUGACGUCAGGUGAUCCACCUGCCUCGGCCUCCCAAAGUGCUGGGAUUACAGGCGUGAGCCACUGCGCCCGGCCUAUCGGUCAGUUCUUACUCCAGGGCCACAGUGCUUAAGGACUACAGCUUUGCAGCAAGUCUUGAGAUUAUAGUGUAAGUUCUCCCUUUUUUUUUUUUUUAAGAGACUGUCUUGGUUAUUCUCAGUCUUGAUUUUCAUAACAUCAGUUCAUCAAUUUAUUCCAAAAGCUUGCUAGGGUCUUGUCUUUGGGUGCAUUUGAUGUGACUUCUGCUUUGCUCUUGCUUGAAUCUCUUCUGUUUUUUCCCUCUGCCCUCUUAGGACCUGCCUCCUCCAGUGCUCCUGGAACUGCUCCAACUGUGCCUGGGACCUCAGCACUGAGUGUUGCUGUCUUAGGGGGUUCCACUGCCACCAUGGCUGGAGUGGCCACCACGUCCCCUGGGCUCAGCAUCCUGGCCAGUUAAGGCACUCUUCUCGGCAUUACAGUAAAAGGUCUGAAACCCCAGAAGGACUCUGUCUCAGACUGGGCCAUUGUGUUGAUCACUCUCACUUUGGUGGCAGCAAUUGUCAACCUAAUGUAUGGUAUCAAGAAGAGGAACGCUGAGUGCCUGGGUUGCCAAGAGGAAGCAGCAGUUCACAGGAAGAGCUGGACUGAGCAGCAGGUUCUCGGGCCCCUUGAUUGACCCGUCAUACCCUUCCCUCAUCUCAC
rnacentral:lncRNA from 1 species